rfam:Triticum aestivum genome assembly, contig: Triticum_aestivum_CS42_TGACv1_scaffold_580254_7BL
GUAAUACUCCCCCGGUCCCAAAAUUCUUGUCUUAGAUUUGUCUAGAUACGGAUGUAUCUAAUACUUGUGACUUAAUACAUCCGUAUCUAGACAAAUAUAAGACAAGAAUUUUGGGACCAAGGGAGUAUGUA